CUAGCCCUUCUGAAAACAUGGGUGCUUUGCCACGCCUUAAGUCAAUGACAUGGACCAUGGAGAAUUGCAACUCUGCAGCAGCAAAUAGAGUAGCCAUCAUCAGUCUCAAGCUUCAAGAUUUCACCAAGUCUCCUUCAGGAGAAACGGAGGUGAAAUUUCAGCUUACUAGAGACACACUUGAAGCGAUGUUGAGAUCAAUGACCUACAUCAGUGAGCAACUUUCUAGCACGGUUCACACCUCUUCAGGUCCGGCUCAGAAGAAGCAAAAACAAUAGAGUUGUCACAACCAUUUUGAUUAAUCUCUUUCUUUGUUUAUAGCUGUCUGCAGAACUAACUUAUUAGCAAUUUAGCACCCUUGAUCUGCUUUGUGCGAAGUUUGCUGGAUUGGGGCUUAAAACUCAAAACUAGCAUGUGUUGUUGAGAUUUUUCUCCUGGGAAUCUCUGCAAAAAUCCACUCGAUGGCAUGUUGUUUUCAUAUUUUGAAUAACAAUAAGUUAAUUUCAUUCUACAGCAUAAUUGAUGGUACUCCACGC
rnacentral:misc_RNA from 1 species